CGGGGGAGGCCGGAUCCUGGGCUGUGUCCCGGCGCCCUGUGCUCCGGAGCCUGCGCUGGUGGAUUCGCGCUCCCGGCCGUGCAGCCCCCU
rnacentral:pre_miRNA from 1 species